UGCCACAUUUUCGAGUUUGUCGCACAUGUGCUGAUGUUUAGCCUCUGGUUAGGUGUUAAUGUGGUUUGGAAUUAUAUUUUAUUUAAGGAUUGGUGCUUUGUGAUGCUUAAUCCGGGUGGUUGUGCUUCGAAAAUUCUUUUCUUUUUAUUGGAUGUUAUUUACAAGGAAAGGCAGGUUUGUUUCUUUGUGAAGUCUUACACAGAUAUGGAUAUACCAGUUUUAUUGCAUAACUGAACUGAUAAAAGAUUUGUUAAUGCUUCUUUAAGUUAUACCUAUAAAAUUUGUGCGGGCAUGCAUUGUCUAAUGAACUCAGGCAAGGCAGUGAUUGAUUUGUAUUAUCUUAAUUGGAUUCUGCUGCAUCGGAGAAACUCUAUGAAGGCUCCCUUGUUAGCCUAGCUGAGUCUGAAUUUUAAGGCAUUCGCUGUUUCCAGGCUCAGUCAUACCAGAUUUUUUAGUUGCAUCCAGGGAAAUUAGUGGAUUUAGGUUUUGAAGAUUGAAAAUGUAUGUUAGACAGCAGAGUUGCACAAGGCGCCAUGCUGUUGUUUGUGAGGAAAAUCAGUUUCUAUCUCUGUAAUUAUUUUGGAGGACUUGAAAAGCUUUGGAUGAAUAGCAGGGUAUUGCAUUUUCUUCUUUAUUUUGGAUUGUGAAGUCCUGCCAUGUGGGCAGGGUUUUAAUUAAUGGAAUUGGAAAUGGUUUCAGAAACAAAAACAGUGAAAUGAAAAUGGGAUGAAUCAGGCUGAAAGUGAAUGAAUCAUCUGCCGAUUCCAGGAAUAUUUUUAAGCGUUAGCAAAAUGACCAAAAUGAAAAGUAAAUAAAUAACUCAACCGAGUAUACUAGAUUCUCCAGCUUUGGUCGUAUGAAACGGUGAAACAUCCUGUAUCAUCCCAACUUGCCCAUAUCACCCGUUUCAAAUGCACUUAACUGUGAAUUGUGAAUCACCAUAGAUGAAACGGUAAAUAAUGGAUCUUUGUCUUGAAAUUCUGAUAUGUAGCAGGCAUAUCAUAAUUUAAAAUCAUACAUGUGGGCAUAAAGAGCAACCCUCUAAAUAGUUUUAAAAAAAAAUUUGUAAUUAUCCUCAGGGUUUUUUUCUACUCUGUUAUGAGAACAAUAAGAAAAUUUUCUCAUGUUCUUAUUAUUCUAAAAAAUGAGGGUAUCUAUUAGGUACA
rnacentral:misc_RNA from 1 species